rnacentral:lncRNA from 1 species
CGCACCGGCCGCGCGGGCACCUGGCGGGCGCCGCGGACACAGCAGGGGGAGGAGACGCCGCGCCGGCCGGGCGUCACGGAGCCGUGCUUGGCGUUCCUGAGCCGAAGCUGAACUUUUUCCCCAAGAAGUCCCACAUUUAGGGGCAGGAGGAGCGGGACGGGGGCGGAGAGCGGAGUUUCUGCAAGGAGCAGCAGCAGCAGCAGCUGCUGCACAACAUGGCCUCCUCCACCUCUUCCUCCCCCGCGGGCGCGGAGAGCACCCCUCCUACGCAGGUGAGCGCCGCGCCGC